GCAGUGCCGCUGCUACCAUGCAGUCGAGCGGUAGCACAGAGAGCUUGCUCUCGGGUGACGAGCGGCGGACGGGUGAGUAAUGUCUGGGAAACUGCCUGAUGGAGGGGGAUAACUACUGGAAACGGUAGCUAAUACCGCAUAACGUCGCAAGACCAAAGUGGGGGACCUUCGGGCCUCAUGCCAUCAGAUGUGCCCAGAUGGGAUUAGCUAGUAGGUGGGGUAACGGCUCACCUAGGCGACGAUCCCUAGCUGGUCUGAGAGGAUGACCAGCCACACUGGAACUGAGACACGGUCCAGACUCCUACGGGAGGCAGCAGUGGGGAAUAUUGCACAAUGGGCGCAAGCCUGAUGCAGCCAUGCCGCGUGUAUGAAGAAGGCCUUCGGGUUGUAAAGUACUUUCAGCGGGGAGGAAGGCGAUAAGGUUAAUAACCUUGUCGAUUGACGUUACCCGCAGAAGAAGCACCGGCUAACUCCGUGCCAGCAGCCGCGGUAAUACGGAGGGUGCAAGCGUUAAUCGGAAUUACUGGGCGUAAAGCGCACGCAGGCGGUCUGUCAAGUCGGAUGUGAAAUCCCCGGGCUCAACCUGGGAACUGCAUUCGAAACUGGCAGGCUAGAGUCUUGUAGAGGGGGGUAGAAUUCCAGGUGUAGCGGUGAAAUGCGUAGAGAUCUGGAGGAAUACCGGUGGCGAAGGCGGCCCCCUGGACAAAGACUGACGCUCAGGUGCGAAAGCGUGGGGAGCAAACAGGAUUAGAUACCCUGGUAGUCCACGCCGUAAACGAUGUCGAUUUGGAGGUUGUGCCCUUGAGGCGUGGCUUCCGGAGCUAACGCGUUAAAUCGACCGCCUGGGGAGUACGGCCGCAAGGUUAAAACUCAAAUGAAUUGACGGGGGCCCGCACAAGCGGUGGAGCAUGUGGUUUAAUUCGAUGCAACGCGAAGAACCUUACCUGGUCUUGACAUCCACAGAACUUGCCAGAGAUGGCUUUGGUGCCUUCGGGAACUGUGAGACAGGUGCUGCAUGGCUGUCGUCAGCUCGUGUUGUGAAAUGUUGGGUUAAGUCCCGCAACGAGCGCAACCCUUAUCCCUUUGUUGCCAGCGGUUCGGCCGGGAACUCAAGGAGACUGCCAGUGAUAACUGAGAGGUGGGGAUGACGUCAGUCAUCAUGGUCCUUUACGACCAAGGCUUAACCACCACGUGCUAACAAAUGCCACUAUGA
rnacentral:rRNA from 1 species